UUUAUUGGAGAGUUUGAUCCUGGCUCAGGAUGAACGCUGGCGGCGUGCCUAAUACAUGCAAGUCGAGCGAAUGGAUUAAGAGCUUGCUCUUAUGAAGUUAGCGGCGGACGGGUGAGUAACACGUGGGUAACCUGCCCAUAAGACUGGGAUAACUCCGGGAAACCGGGGCUAAUACCGGAUAACAU
rnacentral:rRNA from 2 species